CCUGUUCGAGCGUCAUUAUAACCACUCAAGCCUAGCUUGGUAUUGGGGUUCGCGUGCUCGCGGCCCUUAAAAUCAGUGGCGGUGCGUCUGGCUCUAAGCGUAGUAAUUCUCUCGCUAUAGUGUCCCGGCGGUUGCUUGCCAGAACCCCCACAUUCUUCAAGGUUGACCUCGGAUCAGGUAGGGAUACCCGCUGAACUUAA
rnacentral:misc_RNA from 1 species